UACGGGGGGAGCAAGCGUUGUUCGGAUUUACUGGGCGUAAAGGGCGCGUAGGCGGUCGUGACAAGUCACUUGUGAAAUCUCCGGGCUUAACUCGGAACGGUCAAGUGAUACUGUCGGACUAGAGUACAGAAGGGGCAACUGGAAUUCUCGGUGUAGCGGUGAAAUGCGUAGAUAUCGAGAGGAACACCUGCGGCGAAGGCGGAUCUCUGGACAGUUACUGACACUGAGGCACGAAGGCCAGGGGAGCAAACGGG
rnacentral:rRNA from 1 species